AUGGGCUCCAGGCUCCUCUGCUGGGCGACCUUCUGUCUCCUGGGGACAGGACCUGUGGAGGCCGGGAUCACCCAGGAACCAAGAUACAAGAUCACGGUGACAGGAGAGACAGUGACUUUGGAAUGUCACCAGACUGAUAACCAUGACUAUAUGUACUGGUACCGACAAGACCUGGGACAUGGUCUGAGGCUGAUCCAUUACUCCUAUGGUGUUGGCAACAUUGAGAAAGGAGAAAUCCCUGACGGGUACAACGUCUCGAGAUCAAAUACAGAGGAUUUCCCCCUGACCCUGGCGUCUGUUAUCCCCUCCCGGACAUCUGUGUACUUCUGUGCCAGCAGUGACUCCACAGGAUUAGAAGCGUUCUGUGGUGAAAACUCAAGAAUCUCAAACUGA